ACCAGCAUCGGUGGAUUUAGCAUUUUUCUUUUCAUAAACUUCUGCUCGUAUUCGUUCCUAAGCUAACUGCAGUUUCCAUCAACUGUUCCGGCGGAGUUAGGGCUAUGGCUCGAGGAGGGAAAAAGGCAGCAAAUGGAGAAUCCAAUCCAGAUAUGGAGGAGAAGAAGAGGUUAAAGAAACUUGCAAUUUCGAAGCAAAUGCUCUCAGAGAAUCCUUCAAGGGUUAAUAAUUUUCUGAGUCCAUCAAAAACUGUGAUUAAACACCAUGGUAAAGACAUUUUGCGCAAAUCUCAACGGAAGAAUCGUUUCCUCUUUUCUCUUCCCGGUUUACUUGCCCCGGUUUCCGGAGGUAAAAUUGGUGAGCUCAAAGACCUUGGUACCAAAAACCCUAUUCUCUACCUCGACUUCCCUCAGGGUCAAAUGAAGUUGUUUGGGACAAUUGUAUAUCCAAAGAAUGGUUAUCUGACUAUGCAGUUCUCCAGAGGUGGGAAGAAUGUAGUGUGUGAAGAUUACCUUGACAAUAUGAUUGUGUUUUCUGAUGCAUGGUGGAUAGGGAGGAAAGAUGAGAAUCCUGAAGAAGCACGACUCGAGUUUCCAAAAGAGCUGAACGUGCAGCAAGAGCAAUUGGAGUGUGAUUUUAAAGGUGGUGCUGGUGCUACAUGUGUUAAAAAACGAAGUACUAGUGAAUGUGGGGUCAAGCAUGUGGAACAACAGUCUCCUGAACAUGAACAGGAGGAGUUAUUAUCAGAAAGUCAAAAUGAUUCAAAAGAUUUUAUCGAAUUAACUCCAUCUCGUCGUUCAGCAAGGGCAGCAGG
rnacentral:misc_RNA from 1 species